rnacentral:lncRNA from 1 species
GAGAGAGGAGUUCUGACACUAACGCUUCAGAUUGUGCUUUUUCAGGAAAAAGGCACUUUCUUAUUCACGUACAGAUUCAACCUAAGAGGAAAGAUCGAAGAAUGAUAUGAGAAAUAUGACAUUAGGAAGAAGAGUUGAUUUCAAAGGUUGCCUGACAGGCUUGCCUGGGCGAUUGCUUCAAGCUGGAGAUCUGGCUGGGCUUGACUACUUGCCACGAUUUGAGCUUGGGUCUACUCCAUCUGUGUUCCUCUUUGGACUUGGACUAGACUGCAGAAGUUGUCCAGAAGUUCUCCUUGAUGACAAAACCACAAGAAGGCAAGCCUGAUCACACAAACAACAGUUUAUACAUCUGCAUGCAUCACAUCUGCUAAUACUCCCCUGGCCAGAGCAAAUCAUAUGGCCAAGCCCAAACUCCAUGAAAUGGGGCCAUUUUGGCUCUGCCUGUUGGGGAAGGAUAGUUUGAGCUCAGUUGCCACAGUUCACGUAGCCCUGAAAUGAUGAGCCAACCAGUCAUUGUUUUCAGUUUGUCCCUAGGCAUUCUUGGUAGUCUUUGCUUUUUGCCUGUUCAUUCCUAUCUUGUGAUAGCCCUUCUGGUGUAGGUGAUGAAGAUGUAAAACUGGGUAGCAGAAAUAUAUCUUGAAUGGAAAGUUCUUUGACAGUACAGAACCGAUGAGAUAGGUGUUAGAUUUGCUCUUUUCCAAAGGUGAAGAAUCAACGCUUUACCAUACCUAAAACUCCACAAGAAUGUAGCGCCAGUCGCCUCUUGUGUCUUCCUGUGACCAUUCCUUCCAAACCAGAGCCCACUGUAAUGGAAGAUAGAAAGUAAAGCUUGGCUAGUGACUUCUUUUAAAACAAAAAACUGCUGGUACGUAAAGCACUCCACUCUGUCCAGAUCAUUUCUCCAUCUCCCCCUCUCCAGCACUUGUUUGUUUGUUUGUUUUUAAGAUUUUAUUUUUAAGUAAUCUCUACACCCAACAUGGGACUCAGACCCACAACCUGAAGAUCAAGAGUCGCGUGCUCUACCAUCUGAGCCCGCCAGGCGCCCGCUCCGGCACUUGCAGAAGUCUCCGUCUCUCCACUUCAUUCCUCGUUUUUGUGUCCUCAUUUUCUUUGUGGUUUUUUUUACUCCUCUUGCCCUUCUUAGGAUUUUUAUUGAUCUUCUCUCUUAAAUUGGGAUUGAAGAACAGGCUGAAGGUAGAAUGUUUCCGUAAUUAGAAAAGCCAGUAAUUUAAUCUUAAAAUAUUUUUUCCUCUUUACCCAUCUCUAAACUUUAAGAAAAGUUGCAUUUUCACUUUUAAGACCUAUUUAGUCCUUUAGCAAACACUUUGUGAGUACAUACCUGUGACAAGCUGUGUAUAAAUACUGAAACUACACCAGGGAUACAGCACUGAACCUGGUAUAAAGUCCCUGCCAUCAGGAAGCUUUUGUUUUAGUUGGGGAGACGGACAAAAGAAAGAUAAUGGUGAUUACUCUGCAAAGAAAGAUUUGUGAGAAUAACUGAAUAACUAUUUGAGAUUUUGGUAUUUGGGGGAGGUCCUUGAGGAUAAAGACUGCUUUGCCUGUUUGUGCACUAGGGGAUUACACAAAAAUUCUGACGUGAGACACAGAUUUUACUGAAAACAUGGAAGAAUGUUGAAGUAACAAACUAAUAAAAGCAGGAAAGAAUAGAUUGAGAGGGUGAGC